CUUAAUUCGCGGGGAAUUCCUACCUGAUCCGAGGUCAACAUUCAGAAGUUGGGGUUUUACGGCGUGGCCGCGACGAUUACCAGUAACGAGGUGUAUGAUUACUACGCUAUGGAAGCUCGACGUGACCGCCAAUCGAUUUGGGGAACGCGGGUUACCGCGAGUCCCAACACCAAGCUGAGCUUGAGGGUUGAAAUGACGCUCGAACAGGCAUGCCCGCCAGAAUACUGGCGGGCGCAAUGUGCGUUCAAAGAUUCGAUGAUUCACUGAAUUCUGCAAUUCACAUUACUUAUCGCAUUUUGCUGCGUUCUUCAUCGAUGCCAGAACCAAGAGAUCCGUUGUUGAAAGUUUUGAUUUAUUUGUUUGUUUUACUCAGAAGUUCCACUAAAAACAGAGUUUAGGGGUCCUCGGGCGGGCCGUCCCGUUUUACGGGGCGCGGGCUGAUCCGCCAGGCAACGUAUAGGUAUGUUCACAGGGGUUUGGGAAUUGUAAACUCGGUAAUGAUCCCUCCCCUGGUUCAGAGACAAAAAGAGUUUAAACCAACCCUGUGAAAACUUUUGCGCGGGACACCGGGCCGAAAAGGGGGGCGCGAGCACAACCGUUUUAGGGAUUCAUAAAAAAAAAAUAAAGACUGGAUGGGAUAAGAAAGCAAAGGGAAGUAAUUAACAUUUAGGGCCUGGGGGGGAUUCCCGGGGGGGGAGCAAAAGGGAGCC
rnacentral:misc_RNA from 1 species